rnacentral:lncRNA from 1 species
CAUCCUCCUUCAGUGCUGCUCUCAAGCUCUCCUGAGCCUCUGGAAGCAAAGGAGAAAAACAACCCACCAGUAACCGGAAGGAGCACGAGAAAGUAAAGGCACCUAGGACACAUCUCACUGAGGGAAAAAUAAGGACUUGGGAAGUCAAUUCCCAGGCCACCAUUAUAUGCCCUGG